rnacentral:ncRNA from 1 species
GCAGUCGGCACCUCGUACGGGGCCCGUCCGCGCCGCCUCGGCGGCCGUGAUGCAAGGGCCCGCGAUGACCCGGCAGGGCUGGAGGAGACCGCACAUG